GGAGCAUUCUGCCGAUUGACUGUGUUCGAGAUUUUCAUGAAGAGAAUUACUUGAAUGGCGACGAAAAAACUCCUGAGGAGUUUUUGGUGGAAUGGCGCCAUGGACGCAAGGGAGCUAAUAGACAGUGGCCGGUGUAUCAAGCCAGGAUCAUCAAGGUUGCAAGUAUGUACACGCUAUCCAUAUUUAUUUAGCUUUAGUAAUUAAUUAAAUGAACAAAAGCCUGUAAACCAGGCAAUGUUUUCAGACCAAGGACCCCUUGGCUGAGAGAGAGAAGAAGCAGGGACACCCACUACAUAUUGUAUACAAUUGUGUUGUAAAUUAGACAGCUUCAUAGACUUUGACAGCACUAGUAGAGGGAUGCAAACUUGGCCCUGAAAAAUGAAAAUGAUCAUUUGAAAGACCUCAUAAUAAAGCAUAUUCCUCAAAUGAAGGAGGACAUUGCCUCGCUUGCUGGAAGAUGUGCAGCAACCUCAAAACAAUUGCAGCCUCAAAAUACUGUGGCAGCUGCAGAGCCUCAGAAGAAGCAGCCUGGUGAUGACGAUGAUGAUGGUGGUGGUGAUGGUGGAAAUAACAACAAAGUAAGUAACAAGUCAAAAAUGUAUCUAUAAGCUCUCAAGGCGGGAGGCGGGAAAACAUAUAGAUUGGAUAUUUUUGCUAUUUGACAUAA